CCACUCAACAAAAUCGAGACCCGCUCAUCAACCCCCACCUCUCUCUUCGUUCACCCCCAAAAUUAACAAACCCUAGCUCCCUCCAAAUUGUUGUAAGACGGACGGGAAUCGGUACAAUCUUGGCGAAGGUCCGCUGGAACUGGUUUCACCGGUCAAUUGCUUGACCAUUCCCGGCUUCUACCCUCUCUUGUUAUUUGACUUGAAAUUCACCUCUCAUUGAUCGGUUUCAGAUCGGUUUCGUAGGCUGUUCAAGAAACUUAUAGCAGAGGCAGUUCUUCGACCGAGAUUCAUUUUUGCGCGUAUUCAAUCUAUUUAAUAGGCGGAGGCGGAGGGAAGAACUCAUUGAUCCACUAAUAUGACUAUGCCCGAAGGGUUUCGAUUUAAACCCACGAACGAAGAACUCAUUGAAUACUUGUGGAGGAAAGUUCAUGGAUUCCAACCGCCGUCCAAUGCCGUCGUAGAGAAGAACGUUCAAGAACUUGAACCAUGCUUUCUUACGGAUCAUACCAAGUGUACUGAGUAUUCGGAAGGAUAUUAUUAUGUUAAAAGAGAGAAGAAAUCUGCGAAAACAAAAUGGGAAGAGGCCGACAAGGAAGCUUAGAGGAGGAUGGUGGAAGGCCACCCAUGGGGACAAACUAAUUCCAGGGGAACCCAAGAAGGGUUAUAUGAAGAGUCUUAAAUUUCACAGCUACAAAGAUAGUAAUCCAAUUUGUAAUAAAUGCUCGAAGAGUGAUUGGAUUAUGCAUGAAUUCACGCUUGACUCUAAUAAAUUUCAAGAGUGGGUUCUUUGUCGGAUCAAGAGAAAAUGGAACAAACGAGCAGAGAUGGAGAUUCUUACAAGCAAUACUCAACAGUCGUGCAAAAGUUUUAUAGAUCUGUCACAUGCACUGUCCGAGCAAGAACUACAGUGCAUUCAAGAUGAAUUUGAAGCCGAGCAAGAAAUACAGAGUAUGCAGUGGAUUCAAGAUGAAUCUCAAGCUGAGCAAGAACUAAUGUUUAUUCUAGAUCAAAUCUCAAGCUGAGUCAUGUUACAAGCAGCAGAUACAACAGAAGAUGCAAGAACUUCAAGAUCUGCUCUAAAUUCUGUAUAGUCUAAUCUGUAAACUGAUGCCAUUUUUGUUUUAUGGAAAAUUUCAUGUGAAUAUUUUUCAAUCAAUGCAUUAAGACAGCGCAUAGUACACCUCAUCAUUCUCUAUGCAUUCUAUAAACUUGAUUGAGAAUCUGAAAUACUUCCAUCAUUUAUGUCCCUGAAUUAUUUAUUUAUUUAUUAUUGUUUUUAUCUUUUGGGGAAAAUUUUAGAAUCUGUUUUAGUGAAGUAUUGCAUUCUUGUGCGCCAGAUAGUAGGACCAUUGAGCUGAGUGAAUUAGUGAGAAAUGUUUAUUCUUUCUUUUCUUUGUUGGUAGUGGCAAACACAAAGUAUAGAUGUUACAGUCAACAUAAUGUGGUUACUAAAGUCUUAAAAGGAAUGGUGGACAAUUGAAAGGAUAUCAAUAAAUGUUUAUAUUUGCACAAAUGGAAACAUAAAACUUUGCCAAGUAUAGAGAAUUUGCCAUUUGACAUUAUAUGAACCUGUCUUCAUUUUUUGAGUCUAUGGUUUCCCUUUUAUCCCUGCAUCUUAAGACUUAAUUUGGAAUAAGUUGUGAUAGUAGUAAAAACUAUGACUGUAACAAUGCAUUCCCUAAGGAAGGAGUCAUUGGCUGUUUAUUGUGACGAGAAGUGAACAAGGAGUUGCCAAUAUGUAUCAAAUCCGGUCUUUGCAUCUGGAGCGUGUUACAUGUUGCUGAUCAGAAAUGGAACUAGGCAAUGGAGUGGGUGGUGUAACCAGUUGAUGAACAUUUAGGUUGAAUUGUUUCAUGAGUAUGCAUUUUGGUUAAAGAACAUGCAAUUUCUCUAGCAAUCAUACUCUUUGGAUGUCUUUUCUGUUCCAUGUAAUUUUUGAAUCCUUUUUCUAGCAUGUAAAUUCUUAAGCAUUGCACGUUUCGUUGUGGUAAAUGGGGCUCUACACUUGAUCUUCAUUUAUGGCAAUGCAUGGUAGUUAAUGUUGGGGAGACGAGCUCAUGGUUGCGGGAGGAUAUGAAAUAUAAGGCUCCCUUGUUUUCAUGAGAUGUCUUGUACUUCCGCUCUCCUCGAGUGUUUUCGGUUGUAUCAAAUAGUGGUUCUAAUUGCCAUUUCCUUGUCUGUGGACUCUGAAAGCAUUAGGAGACAGACUACUCUACUAGGGUAUGGCACAUGUUGUUGUGUUUCCUCUGUUUCCAUGGCUUUCCUUCUCAUGCAAUGUGGUAAAUCCAUGUUCCUCAUGUAGUCACUGUGAUGCUUAGGAACCAAAGUUUUAGUCCAACAAACUUUGAUGUGUUAACACGAGGACCACAAGUUGCAAUUCAUGAAUGAAGGUGUGAGGUAAAUUAGGUAUAACACCCAUUGGUGAGAAAAUUAGGGACAGUUUUAGUCCAACAAACCUUGGCGCGCAGAGACAACACCAAGGUGAGAUGUUCUGUAAACUAUGGUAAAGUUGUUCCUGUAAUUGGGUGUGGAUUGUUAAUGUUUAAUGAUAAGUGCAUUGCAUUCCCUAAUCAUAUUCGAGGGUACAUUUAUGUUUAAUAUAUGCUUGUCACCUCAAGCAGUUUGAUCUGCCCCCUCUCUUCUACUUGAAUUUUGUUUAGUGAGAAAUGUUUAUUGUUUCUUUUCUUUGCUGGUGGCAAACGAAGUAUAGAUAUUACGGUCAACAUAUUGUGGUUACCAAAGUCUUAAAAAGAAUGGAGGACAAUUGAAAGGAUAUCACUACUGUAGAUUUUUGCACAAAUGGGAACAUAAAACUUGGCUAAAUAUAGAGAAGUAUCCAUUUGACAGUAUACGAAUCUGUCACCCUUUAUUGCUGCAGCUUAAGACUUAAUUUGAAAUAAGUAGUGAUAGUAGUAAAACCUAUGACUAUAACAAUGCUCGCCCUAAGGAAGGAGCCAUUGACUGUUUUUGGUAAUGGGAAGCAAACAAGGAGUUUUCAAUAUGUUUUGAAUCUGGUAUAAGAUUUUCUAUGCAUCUCUCAAAUUGCAAUUGUUUUUCUUUAUGUGGUCUUUAUUUUAUAAUCUCUUUUUUUCUUUCUUUUCUUUUUUUGUCCUUUUUCUAUGUUGAUGUCUUACUUUUACUAACACUUGAAUUUGGAUAUGUCAAUUGCAAAGAAAGAUUAUGUUUUUGUGUUCGCAUAUUCACUGUUUUGGACUUACAUUGACAAUGAAUAGCAAAUAGGGGGAUUGAUGGGUCUUUUAUUAAAGAAUUGUAGGUGUGAACAGUGACAUCCCAUUACUCUAGUUGAGGGUUGAAAUUGAAUCCGUGAUUCCACAGUGACAUCCCUUGACAAGAUGAAUAGUGCAAAGAUAAUUUAUAUUCUUCUUGUUAUUAGGAGUUUCGCCACUUGUAUGUAUCAGAAUUAUCCUGAUGAUCUGAACGUUAAGAAAGCACAAACUGAUCUUAAUGUGACGUGAAAUGAUUCUUUUUGUUGACGAUUUUGUGCUAUAUUGUUGGGAAGAAAGCAUAGUGCCUGUUUGGAUUAUCUUCCAAAACGUUGCUUUUGCUUUUUGAGCUCAAAAGCCAUUUUGAAUACCGUUUGUAUUACUAGAUUGAAAGAGCUCAAAAGCCAUUUUGGGUAGCAUUUGGAUCAUUGUUUAUUCCUUCUUCUUCUUCUUCUUAUUUUAAUUGUAACAUCACAAUAGUGCCCUGUACAGAUUUACACUUUUUAGUCUUCUGUAUGUUCAAUCAAAAUUAUUUUAGUAUUUCUUUGAUCACAAGGUUGCUAGUGGGUAAUUGAUAGAUUAAUUGAUUCAUAGCGGUUAUGGCAUUGCUGGACACUACCCUUAGCUAUAUUUUUUUCCUUUUAUUGAUUUCUGACACCUUAUUGUUUUGCUCUAAUUUUGCAGCAUGAGCAGUAAUGGCUAGGAAAUGAUGAUUCCUCUCGAAUUUUUUGGGGUAACUAUAUCUGAAUGACCACCUCUUGUUAUCUUCUUUGGAAUGUUGAAUGUUUUUUAUUGAUGAUCCAAUUGCAAUCAUAUACUAGAAUGAAAAUCAAAGUCUUCUAUACAAUUGUAAUCAACCCUACUGUACCCAUAUACUAAAAAGAAAACUGAAAUCUGCUAUACAAUUAUAUGUUAUUCUUCAAACUCUGUCUGUAAAACAAAAGGUCUGAGAAAUGAUAACAUUUCAGAAAGUCAUUAUAGAUACUGAGAAAAGUCCUCACUUUGUAUGUAGUAUAGCAUUCAAGGAUACACUUACCUAGGUUAUGCAUGUAUUUCCAGCAAGGUUGCAAUUAAGAUGGCAAGUACCCGUCAUCUUUGGUAGCACAGCUGCAAGCUUGCAACUAGGAUGCUUCAGAAAGUCAGCUGGUUUUGUCUGUGGUUAUGAUCAUUGAGACCGGUCCAAUUAGCCUGCUCUGUUUUUUGGGGGGUCACUGCAUCAUAUGUUGGACAUUGAUUAGUUAUAUAGCAUGCAUAACAGUGAACAAAGCCUGCUGCCUUUGUAUUUCAGCUAACAUCUCCCACCCCUUUUUGUAUGUUUGUAACUGUAAUAAAUUCAAUCUUUUUUUUUUUUAGUGUUGCAGAAGAUGUAUAUGUGUUAAGUGCCAAGUAUAUUUAAAUGUGGCAUCAAACUAUUAGCAUUUCAAUUUGGAUCAAUUAUUGGAUUUGGGUUUUCCAA